UCCAAAGUGAGACCCCAGAAUACUCUGGAUACAGCUCGAGAGCAUUAUCAGCUGUUUUAAAACAAGAAAACUGACCCAGGAGGCAAAGGGUUGACUGAAAGAGACAGGGAAUAUGUGAGGUGGACCUUAGAUGAGAAGGAGGAAGAACAUUCUGGCUGCAGGCAUGGAGAUUGAGAAGCUACCAAGAAGAGGGCAUGGGAAGGAGGGAGAAACAGGCUCCACAGACCUUGAAGCAGAUGAGAAAACAGCAAAGGAAUUCAAGUGGAAUUCUCUGGAGUGGGAGGGGCAGGCAGCACUUGCAGCUGACACCCGUGAACUUAUACUUGGCUCCGAGCACACUGAUGUUUCUGGAGAUUUACUCCCAGGGCCCAGUCACAAACAAAAGAGGAGACACUGAAGAUCAAAGAGGAGCGACUCCCAGGAGAUACACAAAUGUCACAGCCAAGGGAAACAGCCACAAAGUGGACUUGCCUUUGUCUUUGGUAUCCAGUCUCCCAGAAGCACUUUGAAUGAGCAGACUGCAAAUGGCACUUGGGGAGUCAGAAGUGACCAUCUGUCCUACGCAGAAAGCCUCCUGGAUAGCUGCUAUUACAGGAAUGGACCACUGCGCCCACCUGAUUGUUUUCCCAAUCACAGCCACAACACACUGAUAUUAAGAGGAGCAGUUUCAAUGGGCAAUAACAGUCAUGACCAUCAUCAGUCCACUGAAGAAUUUGUCACAGUCUGCUCCUGUGACACGGCCAUGUAUUUUUGAUCCUGAUAAACAAUGGAAACCUGAUUUGUUCUAUAAAACUGCCAUAGGAAACUGUGAAAGGUACUCUGAAGACAAGCCGAACAUUUCCACCCCAUGGCACAGCUAAAAGAGGAACCACUGAAUAUUUUCUUCAAGUUCAUGAUUUUAGAGCUGGCAAAAGAAAGCUACUGGGUUCUGCCUGGAACUCAUGGGCUGGGAGGGCUGACUUUCAAAGUUCUUGGACUAUAAAAAGCUCCAAUGUUCACACAGAGUUCUGUGUAGGAUGAGUAGGAGGGGGUAUAAUAAGAAAGAACAGUAUUUUGGUCCUUUGGCAGAUUUUAUUCCUUCAUUCCAGCCUCCCACUGAGAUGGGUUAGGAUGUGCAAACCAUGCCAGAAUGCCCCCAGCCUCCUGGCCUGCCACCCUCUGUCCUGCAGGCCUUCUUCUUCCUCAUUCCCAAAGAGAGCUCCAAUAUUUCCGAUGGGGUUUCCUUCUAUGAGUAUUUCACCUGGAACAUUUACAAUCACCACAAUUUCUAUCCUGUAAAGCAUUUUCUACCAAACUCAAGACAAAAAUAAACCAUGGGAUGCUUAAAUAAGCCUCCGGUUCAAAGGCAUGAAAAUAAAAAUGGUUGCAAUGA